GAUGAACGCUGGCGGCGUGCCUAAUACAUGCAAGUCGAACGCAUUGUGGUUGAAAUGAUAUGAAGAACUUGUUCAGAUUUUGAUUUUUCAACAUUGCAAUGAGUGGCGAACGGGUGAGUAACACGUGGGAAACCUACCUCUUAGCAGGGGAUAACAUUUGGAAACAAAUGCUAAUACCGUAUAAUAAUUAAAACCGCAUGGUUUUAGUUUAAAAGAUGGUCUUGCUAUCACUAAGAGAUGGUCCCGCGGUGUAUUAGUUAGUUGGUGAGGUAAUGGCUCACCAAGACAAUGAUACAUAGCCGAGUUGAGAGACUGACCGGCCACAA
rnacentral:rRNA from 1 species